rnacentral:lncRNA from 1 species
CAGGGGAGGAGUGUAAACAAAAGCUCACCAGAGAAGCUAUAUUUCAAACACAGGCCAGAUGUUUCAUGCUUCAAUGUCUAUUGUCGAACCCUGGCAUGAAAGCUUUCAACAGGCACAAAGUUCAGGAGUUAAUAGGAUCCUAACAGGACCUACAGCUAGAGCUGGGUAUCGAAAUUCGAUACCAAAAAGGUAUCGACCAAAAUGUCUCGGUACUGAAGAUUAACGAAAGGUCUAAAAAAAAAAAAAAAAAAAAAAGAAGAAAGUGAGUUUUUAAUUAAAUAAAUGUUCAUUUCUGUAUCCAUAGGAGAAAUCUAAGAGCCCACUGGACCAGCAAGGCCUGUCUUCUGCUACGCAGAAAUCUCUGGAACGGAAAAAACAGAGGGUUGGCAUAAAGAUCCAACUCAAACCAAAGAAUUCCACAACAAGCGUCCUGCAGUCCACUCAGAGGCAGGAUGUAUUCAUCAAUUCUCAGAAGCUUAAACCUGUCACGGUUGGAAUUACUCAGCCUGUCUGGCGCAGGCAGCGAGUCAACACCACAAUAAAGCAGCAGCUUUAUGAAGCAGAAGCAGAGCAGGAAAGCAUCUCCAGCAUUAAGACUCUCUGGCAAACUGGAAGUGCUGGUGCUGGACCAGUAACGAAAUGUCCUUGGGAUGGGACCAUUCUUGGGAAUGGGAGGAAUACUCGAGCGCACGAGCCCCGAAAUCAGGGCAACAAACUCCAGCCCUCAGUACUGAGCUCUGUUCUGUAUAUUAUUCACAUUUUCCCUGAUAUUAAAGCGACAGUCUGUAAGUUUUUUGUGGUUUUGGGAGAUUUGGGGGAUUUGGAGACCUCUCUGGUGAGAGUGUGCAACUGCAGUGGAAUUUAAUGCAGCUUAAUGUAAAUGAAUUGUCUUUGUUUGCAAAAAGAUAUAAAAAAAAAUGGCCCUAAUCCAAUAUAUUUGUGAUAUAUAUGUGAUACACACGUGUGGCAGUGUGAACAGCAAAAACUGAAUCCGAUACAGGUGCAUCUUAAAAAAUGAGAAUAAAAAUGAAAAGUUACUUUAUGUCA